CUAAGGCAGUUUCCAAGCUAACAGAAUAUAAAUAUAACCAAAAGGAGAAGAGGAUGACACAUUCAUUGAGGAAGGCACUUGUUGGCUUUGCAAUGUCAUCUUUGAGGUGGGGCGGCCAUGAUUGUUGAAGUGGGUGCUGCAGCAUAAGGAAUGUAUUCUGGUGUUCUUCAUGGUCUUGGGAAUGAUGAUGAUGAUGAAAAUUUUAUUUAUGUUUUGUUCACAUUAUAGGAGAGGGUUCUUGUGGUAGAGUCCUUGGUGCCCCUAGGUCUUUGAACUUUUGGUUUCCUUGUUUCUCAGUCUCAUGAUCCCGCUUUGUUUGAUUGUGAGGAUAUGCAGGGUAUUGUGGAAUGCUUGUAUCCUUGUCCUUUCAGCUGGUCAGUAAUUAAUAAGAGGUUGCUUCACUCUGAUUUUCUUGUGAAGCAUGGUACUCUAAGGCUUCUUUCGAAGGCACUGAAGUUGCUGGACUGGACUCCUUCAUUGGUGCUUUGAACCGUGGUUCUUAUUCUAGCAAUCAAAUGAUGCAGGGUUGGGCAGCUCUCAAGCAAGGAAUUCAGAAUGAAGUCAGAAUUUUGAAUUUUGUAAUCGAGAAAAGCUUUUUGGUUUUCUUAUGUGGGAAAUUUCACUGCCUUGAGAUCAGACUCUGCACGAAUGCUUCAACUUCAAGAAUCUUAUUCCCAUUUAGCCAUUUUUUUGGAGGAAGAGAUUGAUGAGGAUUCUUUGAUACUAGACUUUUGUGAUGGCUAAACUGCUGCUAUUAUUCUUGGGAAGGUUUCUUGGAAAUCUAAUGGUUUUGUCCCCAAGAUUUCAAACUGAAUUUAGGAACUCUGCAAUCAUUAUUGGAUCUUAUUGAAAGUGAAUGUGAUGAAAGCAUCAAAAAUCGAUUUGGCUGCGAGUAUUAUUUACUGUCAACAGCUUCAUGGCAUUCUUGUUGAGUGCUCCCAUUAGUUAUAUCUGCACUGUGUCUUCUUUCCUCUGCCUCCAGUUUUUCAGAUCGGUUAUCUUCCAAGGUCAUAAGACCUUGGUGGCAUCACUGUGUUCGAAGAUACAUUGCCCUACUGAAGCUAAUCUUGCCUAGAGAUGGUCCUUUUACAGGCCAUGGAAGGACCUUUCAUUGGAACUCAUUGAUUCACAGAAGAUGGAUGAACUCCAUGCUUGUCAAACUCUCUCGAGUCAUUUUUGCGAAUGGAAUUUCAAGAAAAUCAUUAAGUUUGCAGGUAUUAUCACCUUUAAAUGCGGACAGAUCUGGUGUGUAUGAAUGGGAAAAAAGCAUUAUAAGAGCUUGAAGGGUGAUCACUCCCAAGAUUUAUUA